rnacentral:rRNA from 1 species
UACGGAGGGGGCUAGCGUUGUUCGGAAUUACUGGGCGUAAAGCGCACGUAGGCGGAUCUUUAAGUCAGGGGUGAAAAUCCCGAGGCUCAACCUCGGAACUGCCUUUGAUACUGGGGAUCUCGAGUCCGGGAGAGGUGAGUGGAACUGCGAGUGUAGAGGUGAAAUUCGUAGAUAUUCGCAAGAACACCAGUGGCGAAGGCGGCUCACUGGCCCGGAACUGACGCUGAGGUGCGAAAGCGUGGGGAGCA